UGGUGGAGCAUGUGGUUUAAUUCGAUGCAACGCGAAGANCCUUACCUACUCUUGACAUCCAGAGAAUUCGCUAGAGAUAGCUUAGUGCCUUCGGGAACUCUGAGACAGGUGCUGCAUGGCUGUCGUCAGCUCGUGUUGUGAAAUGUUGGGUUAAGUCCCGCAACGAGCGCAACCCUUAUCCUUGUUUGCCAGCACAUAAUGGUGGGAACUCCAGGGAGACUGCCGGUGAUAAACCGGAGGAAGGUGGGGACGACGUCAAGUCAUCAUGGCCCUUACGAGUAGGGCUACACACGUGCUACAAUGGCGUAUACAGAGGGCUGCAAACUAGCGAUAGUAAGCGAAUCCCACAAAGUACGUCGUAGUCCGGAUUGGAGUCUGCAACUCGACUCCANGAAGUCGGAANCGC
rnacentral:rRNA from 1 species